UAAAAUUUAACCAAUCAAAUGUCAAAAGAACUCCAAAUAUAAAAGCAUGACAAAACUUGUAGGACUUGAGAAAAGAAAAAGUUAACAAAAGUCCAAAUGCUUGACAAUAGCAAUAUUCAGUUGGGGCAGCCACCAUAUUUGACUGCCACAAACUCAAUUGCAUGGAUAAUUGGAAACAUAAUGUGAAUAGAAUACAUAGUGGACAUGUAAAUUAUACAGCAAUAAUCUGUAUUUCAGCUAAAUUUUAAAAGAGAAAAGAAACAAAAUGCUAAAGACCUACAUAUCACAUUCUCAAUGACGUCUAAAGCUUAUGAGAAAAAUGAUCAUCAUAAUAUUGUGACCACAAAAUCAAGGUUCUGAGAACCGGACCGGUUAUCAAACCGCUCUAGUCACUGGUUCACUGGUUUACUAGUCCAACCGGUCUAACCGGUGGUUCAACCG